GUGUGCCUACAACAAGUCAAAGCUCGUUAAUGAGUGAUGGCGUGCCUUUUGUAGAAUGAACCGGCGAGUUACGAUUGCAUGCGAGGUUAAGUCGAAGAGACGGAGCCGCAGCGAAAGCGAGUCUGAAUAGGGCGAAUGAGUAUGUAGUCGUAGACCCGAAACCAUGUGAUCUACCCAUGUCCAGGUUGAAGGUGCGGUAAAACGCACUGGAGGACCGAACCCACGUACGUUGAAAAGUGCGGGGAUGAGGUGUGGGUAGCGGAGAAAUUCCAAACGAACUUGGAGAUAGCUGGUUCUCUCCGAAAUAGCUUUAGGGCUAGCCUCGGAAUUGAGAAUGAUGGAGGUAGAGCACUGUUUGGACUAGGGGCCCAUCUCGGGUUACCGAAUUCAGAUAAACUCCGAAUGCCAUUCAUUUAUAUCCGGGAGUCAGACUGCGAGUGAUAAGAUCCGUAGUCGAAAGGGAAACAGCCCAGACCACCAGCUAAGGUCCCAAAAUAUAUGUUAAGUGGAAAAGGAUGUGGGGUUGCACAGACAACUAGGAUGUUGGCUUAGAAGCAGCCACCAUUUAAAGAGUGCGUAAUAGCUCACUAGUCGAGUGACCCUGCGCCGAAAAUGUACCGGGGCUAAACAUAUUACCGAAGCUGUGGACUACACCAUUAGGUGUAGUGGUAG
rnacentral:rRNA from 2 species